rnacentral:rRNA from 1 species
UACAGAGGGUGCGAGCGUUGUCCGGAAUCACUGGGCGUAAAGGGCGCGUAGGCGGCCUGAUAAGUAGGGGGUGAAAUCUCGCGGCUCAACUGCGAGGCUGCCUCCUAAACUGUCGGGCUCGAGCACAGUAGAGGCAGGUGGAAUUCCCGGUGUAGCGGUGGAAUGCGUAGAGAUCGGGAAGAACAUCGGUGGCGAAGGCGGCCUGCUGGGCUGUUGCUGACGCUGAGGCGCGACAGCGUGGGGAGCAAACAGGAUUAGAAACCCCCGUAGUCC